UGGCCACUCCCCUUUCUACCCACACCCUCUGUGGGCCACCUAAUGUGGGGAGUGGGAAUACCACCCUGCAGACCCCUCCCUUCUCUGGCCACAGGCAGCUAGUCCCACGUCCAGCCUGCCAAAGCCCUCUGCAGCCCCCACCCCUGCCCGCCUCUACUCCCAGGAGUGGAGGGCUCUCUUUGCAGGAGCCCAGAAGUUCAUUUCCUGUUCCAGCAGCUCCUGAGUCUCCCAUGGCUGCAGCUGGCUGACCGGCCCCAUGCUGCGCUCUCCUCUCUGGCCUCAACUCGCUGUGACUCUAGCAUGGUUUAGUGGAUCCAGCCUCACUCCAUUUACAGGAACCCCGCGUGCCUUCCAUCGUCCUCUGCAUCUCAGCUCUGACUUGGCAGCCCUCCGACCUCGGCCUGGUUACUUCGCCUUUCAGCAGCUUCUUUAUGUGGCUGCAGUGAGAAUUAAGUGACAUAAUCCAUGUACAGUGCCAGGCACACAGAAGGUCAUUCAGGAAAGAUGAUUAAACUACUCACCCAGGGACACUGACUGAGGUGACUGGAGCAAUUCUGAGCCUAGGUCUCAAGAAGUCUUGCACUCUUCUGCUCGAUUUCUUGGAACCCUGCACAGCAGGCCUGUUGGAGGAUCACAGAUACACGGCUCAGUCCCCACCACUGCGCUAGCAACCCACCAGCCAACCCCCAGACAUGUGAGAGAUGCCAUCUUAGACCAGCCAGCCCCCAGCCCCCAGCUGAUCCUUCACUGAUACAGAUGCAGGAGCUAGCCCAGCCAAGAUGAGCCCCCAGCCUGCCAAGACCAGUAGAACCUCCCAUUGAGCCUAACCUUAAUGACUGACCUGCAUAAUCGUGAGCUAGAAAUGUGGUUGUUGUUUUAAUCCUCUAAGUUUUGGUCUGGGUUGUUAUGCAUCGUUAACUAAAU
rnacentral:lncRNA from 1 species